GACGAACGCUGGCGGCGUGCUUAACACAUGCAAGUCGAACGGUGAAAGGGAGAUUGCUCCCUGGAUCAGUGGCGAACGGGUGAGUAACACGUGGGCAACCUGCCCCAGACUUCGGGAUAACGCUUCGAAAGAGGUGCUAAUACCGGAUACGAACUCCUUGGGCAUCCUUGGAGUUGGAAAGUUUUUCGGUCUGGGAUGGGCCCGCAGCCUAUCAGCUUGUUGGUGAGGUAACGGCUCACCAAGGCGACGACGGGUAGCCGGCCUGAGAGGGCGACCGGCCACACUGGGACUGAGACACGGCACAGACUCCUACGGGAGGCAGCAGUGGGGAAUAUUGCGCAAUGGGCGAAAGCCUGACGCAGCAACGCCGCGUGAGGGAUGACGGCCUUCGGGUUGUAAACCUCUUUCAGCAGGGAAGAAGCGAAAGUGACGGUACCUGCAGAAGAAGCACCGGCUAACUACGUGCCAGCCGCCGCAGUAA
rnacentral:rRNA from 1 species